CGCGGUGGUUUUGGUGGCUGGAAAGCAAAUAAUGAUCCGCCAUUCAAACUGCAGAUUCAGAAGAAGAAGAGGAAAGGGGGUAUAUCUCCCUCUAUAGGUCUUCAGAGUGAACCGAAAUUGGAUAGAGAGAUGUAAACCAUAAUGGAAGACAGGGUUUACAAAAAAAAUAAAUAAAUAAAAUAAAUGGCUGAGUUUGUACCAUA